GACGUAGGGCGCAAGCGUUUGUCCGGAUUUAUUGGGCGUAAAGAGCUCGUAGGCGGCUCGUUGCGUCGGCUGUGAAAACCCGCAGCUUAACUGUGGGCCUGCAGCCGAUACGGGCGGGCUGGAGUUCGGUAGGGGAGACUGGAAUUCCUGGUGUAGCGGUGAAAUGCGCAGAUAUCAGGAGGAACACCGGUGGCGAAGGCGGGUCUCUGGGCCGAUACUGACGCUGAGGAGCGAAAGCGUGGGGGAGCGAACAGG
rnacentral:rRNA from 1 species